rnacentral:rRNA from 1 species
UACGUAGGGUGCAAGCGUUGUCCGGAAUUAUUGGGCGUAAAGAGCUCGUAGGCGGUUUGUCGCGUCUGCUGUGAAAACCCGAGGCUCAACCUCGGGCCUGCAGUGGGUACGGGCAGACUAGAGUGCGGUAGGGGAGAUUGGAAUUCCUGGUGUAGCGGUGGAAUGCGCAGAUAUCAGGAGGAACACCGGUGGCGAAGGCGGAUCUCUGGGCCUUACCUGACGCUGAGGCGCGAAAGCUAGGGGAGCGAACAGG